rnacentral:rRNA from 1 species
UGGGGAAUCUUGCGCAAUGGACGAAAGUCUGACGCAGCCACGCCGCGUGAGUGAAGAAGGCCUUCGGGUUGUAAAGCUCUGUCGCCCGGGACGAAAAGUCAUUUGGCUAAUACCCAAGUGAUCUGACGGUACCGGGAAAGGAAGCACCGGCUAACUCCGUGCCAGCAGCCGCGGUAAUACGGAGGGUGCAAGCGUUGCUCGGAAUUAUUGGGCGUAAAGGGUAGGUAGGUGGUCUCAUUUGUCUGGGGUGAAAGCCUUGAGCUUAACUCGAGAAGUGCCUCAGAAACGGUGAGACUAGAGUCCUGGAGAGGGUCGUGGAAUUCCCGGUGUAGCGGUGAAAUGCGUAGAGAUCGGGAGGAACACCAGAGGCGAAGGCGGCGACCUGGACAGGUACUGACACUCAACUACGAAAGCGUGGGGAGCAAACAG